ensembl:lincRNA
CCUGGCCCCCACAGUGCUUCUUAUAGCUCAGAUUCCUGGGCUGCACUCCUGGAGUUCCUGAUUCCUUAGGUCUCCAGUGAGGCCUGAGAGUUUGCAUGUCUAACAAGCUCUAGCUGAUGGUUUGGAGACCAUACUUUUAGAACACUGGUCUACAGGUCUCCCGUCUUGUCCUUUCUAGUCUAGAAAUCAUGCUUGUUUGCUCAUGGGUUCUAAGUGACAGCAAAUCACCACCUUCCUUCGCCUUAGUGGGGAAUGAAAGAGACAAAUUUCUCCCUAACUCUUUGGCCAAAACUCUUCCAGAGGCUAAUGACUUCUCAUUUCUCCCUCUCUGCUCAUUUGCAUCCUCUGUCACUGAGUACAGGUCUCAUCUCCUCUAAGCACUUGGUGGGAAGAGUUCAGCCUCAUCCCUCAUGGCAGUUCCAGUCAAUGCCCAACAGAGACCAACCAAAGCCAAGUUGCUGGAAAGGGACUCUGAGUGGCCAGUUUGGGUCAUGUGACUCCAUUGCCCAUGGGAGCAGUCUCUCUGAGAAGAAACAGGGUCAGAGCAGGUGGAUAAGCAGCAUUCCUGCCUCAGUCAUAGGCCCCAGUGUUCUCCACUCCGUCAGUAAGCUAGGCUUGCUUGUCCUGCACAUCUCACUGACACCAACAGUGGAAGGGCUGGUUUCUUCCUGCUGGGACCAACGGGAGCUGGUGAUGACUGUGCCAUGUUCGGGAGGUCACAUGAGGCCAGCAGAGGAUGGAAGAGACCAGCAAAAAGUAAGGUUGUACUUUUGA